CGCCCAGAGUCUUCCCGGGAUUGGCCGCGGUUCCCGCGACCCUCCUGCUUCCCUCCCCGCCCCGCCCCGCCCCGCCCCGCCUCUCUGGUUUGUGCGCCCGGCGCAGGUCGCGGGCCUCUUUGUCAGCUGGAGUUGCGCGAGCUGACGCGCCACUACUUUGUAGCAGGUUUCGGGCGGGCCACGCGUGCGGCGACUGGAACCCAACCCUAGCCGACCUUGAGCUCCAGUAGUUCGUCUCUUACGUCUGCGGAAGUGCAGCUGCCUCAGUUCCUAGCGCAGGCUGACAACUACAGGUACAAGCCAUUGAAGCUGGAAUGUCCUGUUGCUGGUAUUUCAAUUGACUUAAGCCAACUAUCCCUUCAGUUACAAUAGGAAAGUGCCUCUAAUAAGGCCAAAUAUGCGUACUAACUUAAAGCAACCACGUGUCCGUGCAGUGCCACAUGAGCUAGAGCAGUGACAAAACUGGUGGCAACAGGGCAGUGUAGCAGGUGCUUCAUGUUCCCCUUUUCAACCUUUUCAUUCAAUUGUCACAACUCAGAGGUGGAUUCUGUUAGGGACAAGCUGCCCCAGGACCACCCCGCCCAUGCCAACUCAAUGCAGCUGACCCUUACCCUGAAUACUCUGCAGCUGCAUUCCUGAACCGUUAUCUAGGCGCCAUAGCAAGGUCACCAGACUUGCUACACCGAAGCCCUCCGGGUGGCACGGGGGAGGUCAUGAGAAACGUGGAUAAACCUAAGUUACACCCCCUUGUAAAUUCCUAUUUUCACAAGAUAAUAUAUUGUAAGCCGGUCAUGAGAUUAUAUGUGGUAAAGUUAAUUGACUAACAACCCCAGGGUCUCUCUCCCCCAUAUAAACCCCUCAUUUUGUAAGCUCAGGGCUGCCACCUCUUGACUGGUGGAGAAGCCCGGCAGGUUAAUAAACUUACUUGGCCUAAC